rnacentral:lncRNA from 1 species
UGUAAUGAUGUAUUGUAGACAUCUCUCCAGAGCAGAGCACGAGCUCCUCCUCAUUCUUCUUAACUGCUGUGUCCUAUUCAAUUGAUGGCUGCACCAUCGUUGACCUACAGGUGAACCUGACACGAUCCAUCUCCGCACCAUUGAGGCACUGGUCCAGUGUAGACUCUCCUCUGGGCCCACAGGACCAGGGAGGCCGAGAGUGUGCUCUGUGACCUCAGCGAGCCGUUCCCCCUCUCUGGGCUACACAGUCUGCUCCCCUACGAGGCUGAGGCUGGGCUGGCUCCGGGCAGAUGCUCACUGCCAUUAAGCAGUGAACUGUUGAUCCUUCGGGGUUCAUCUCCAGAUUCCAAAAUGAUCUGCCCCCCGUUUUUCAGGCCGGGGAAAGGCAUGGGGACUCUUUCUGGCUAUUUUUCACUUCUGACUUUUCCCAGGUUGGUGAGAGUGACUCUGAGGAUGAUGUCACCAGCUCUUGGUCGGAGAACGCUAGGAGGCUGAGGGCAUGGGCAAGGACUUUGUCCUAAAGGUCACUGCCUUCAUUUUGGGCUUGGAAACCAUCGUGGAGCCUUUCUUCCCACCACGUGGGAGGGCCUGGUGACCCUUCUCCUGGGCUGGGCGGGUGC